UAAACCUUGCCCUCAAAGGGAAAACAGUUAACGCAGAUCGCGUUCGUAGCAGUUCUAAAUACAUUCCAGUUAACAAAAAGUUUACUCAACACGAAGAAAAUCAAUCCUACUAUGUAGGGCU
rnacentral:lncRNA from 1 species